rnacentral:rRNA from 1 species
AACGAACGUUAGCGGCGCGCUUAACACAUGCAAGUCGAGCGAAAAAGGGGCAACCCCGGUAAAGCGGCGCACGGGUGAGUAACACGUAGGUAAUCUACCCCCAGGUGGUGGAUAACCUUCCGAAAGGAAGGCUAAUACAGCAUGGGACCACGACUUCGAAAGGAGUUGAGGUGAAAGUUGGCCUCUUCACGAAAGCCAACGCCAGGGGAUGAGCCUGCGGCCCAUCAGCUAGUUGGUAGGGUAAUGGCCUACCAAGGCAAAGACGGGUAGCUGGUCUGAGAGGAUGAUCAGCCACACUGGAACUGAGACACGGUCCAGACUCCUACGGGAGGCAGCAGUGGGGAAUCUUGCGCAAUGGGCGAAAGCCUGACGCAGCGACGCCGCGUGAGUGAUGAAGGCCCUCGGGUUGUAAAGCUCUGUGGAGGGGGACGAAUAAGCGUUGGUUAAUAUCCAGC